AACGAACGCUGGCGGCAUGCCUAACACAUGCAAGUCGAACGAGACCUUCGGGUCUAGUGGCGCACGGGUGCGUAACGCGUGGGAACCUGCCCUUAGGUUCGGAAUAACUCCCCGAAAGGGGUGCUAAUACCGGAUAAUGUCUUCGGACCAAAGAUUUAUCGCCUUUGGAUGGGCCCGCGUUGGAUUAGCUAGUUGGUAGGGUAAAAGCCUACCAAGGCGACGAUCCAUAGCUGGUCUGAGAGGAUGAUCAGCCACACUGGGACUGAGACACGGCCCAGACUCCUACGGGAGGCAGCAGUGGGGAAUAUUGGACAAUGGGCGAAAGCCUGAUCCAGCAAUGCCGCGUGAGUGAUGAAGGCCUUAGGGUUGUAAAGCUCUUUUACCCGGGAUGAUAAUGACAGUACCGGGAGAAUAAGCUCCGACUAACUCCGU
rnacentral:rRNA from 1 species